UUCUACCACCCUGCAGUAAUCUUGAUUUCAACAACUUGUACUUGCUUAUGUCAGUUUCAACCAAUCACGAGCUGGUCCGAAAUUGGUCCUAAUGCCCCGUUUACACUUCUGCUGGCUGCCAGCAUGCUGGUGUCAGUGUACUGCCCUCUUAGGAAAAAAACGUUCAACUGUGGUCCAAUCGACGACACGACCAGGCACUCCGAAGAAAAAUCUGAACAAAAAGUGUUCGUGAGUGAUUUACCGCCAGUUACCAUAAAUAUAGCGACCCCUCGAUAAUCAUGAAAAUAAUCUUCUUGAGCAACACUGUUUAAGUUGCUAUGAACUAGUUACCAAGGAGCGCCAAAAUAAAUAAACAAAUCAUUUGAGAAAGUUGUCAAACUUUUAUAUAAAAUUAAAUUUUGUUUCAACGUUCUUUUUGGAUUUCGCCAACCACAAUAGUACAAUAACCAAAUCUGAAAUAUCCAGUCGAGUUUCCGAAACAAAUCACUUUUGCUUAACAUACUGUCAACCAACCCGGAAGUUAGUACCAGUCUUCACGAAAUGAAAAUGAGACUUCAUUGUUGAAUUGUAUCCGACACUCUUUACAUUCGACUACUUCAACAAGUUCCAGCAGCCUUACGGUAGACCGUAGUUACAGUCUGUUUUCUGUUUGAGACACAAAUAAUCAAAUUUUUUGAAGGAGACCUGUUUGCACUGGAGGCUUUCGAUGUGCACUUCAAAACCUAUAAUUUCGAUCAGAUCUAAUAUACUGAGAAAUUUGAUUCCCGUGCUGUUCAAGUGCCUUUCAUAUUCAUCGAAGUAUACACGCACUUUGCGGAGACCUCAAAUCACUGAGAGUAGAAGUAGAGUAGUUUCCAAAAUAUAACAGGGCAUUGUUUCACAACAUAUAUGCUUAUUAGCGGAGAGGGUUGAACGAUUUGGAAUAAGGGGCGAAUUGAAAUGGUUUUACUUUAGAAAGUCAUUAGAAAAUAACAAAUAUGCUUUCAAUACUAAAUUCUGAUAAUCGGACUAAUAAAAAGUUUCGCAAUGACGGAUUGAAUGACUGCAAAACUUAACAUCAUUGAAAAACUCAUUUACAUAGCAGAUAGUCAUUAUAGAUCUAAGUAUGGUUACGUUGAACUAUUUAAUAAACAUCCACGAAUAUUAAA